GAUGAACGCUGGCGGCGUGCCUAAUACAUGCAAGUCGAGCGAAGCGGGGACGGGGGAGUAACACGUGGAUAACCUCCUAUAAGACUGGGAUAACUUCGGGAAACCGGAGCCAAACCCGAUACUCAUAGAUGGAUCCGCGCUGCAUUAGCUAUUUGGUAAGGUAACGGCUUACCAAGGCAACGAUGCAUAGCCGACCUGAGAGGGUGAUCGGCCACACGGGAACUGAGACACGGUCCAUACUCCUCCGGGAGGCAGCAGUAGGGAAUCUUCCGCAAUGGGCGAAAGCCUGACUGAGCAACGCCGCGUGGUUUAUAAAGGUCUUCGGAGCGUAAAACUCUGUUAUUAGGGAAGCGGUACCUAAUCAGAAAGCCACGGCUAACUACGUGCCAGCAGCCGCGGUAAUAC
rnacentral:rRNA from 1 species